GGUCAUGUAACUAUUACAAAACCCAAGUAUAAGGAAGUAUUUAUUCUUCGCGCUUCUUUACUAUUUUUAACUUAUUUAAAUAAUAUAAAUAUCUACUGAACAAGCUCGUUCAGGUCUUUAAAUAAUUUUGUGUGGACGCAAUCAACAUCGGACAAUGGGGUUAUUUGAAGGAAUUUCGAAAUUCGCUCUUAUAUCAGCAAUUUUGACUGCUGUUGGAUUUCUUGUACAUUUGAUCGGUUAUGGAGCACCAUACUGGGUAAAAAGUGGUACUUUUAAUAUUGGACUUUGGAAAUAUUGUUUUAAAAGCGAGUGUAUUGACAUCGUUAGCGAUAAAUUUACAAUUGAAGGAUGGUUGGAGGCAGUCCAAGCCUUCGAGACACUUGCCUUUCUAGCCAUACUUGCAACGAUAGUGGUUAUGGGACUAAAAUUUACAGUCAUGAAAGAGCAGAAGAUAUUGCCAAUUGUCAUCUUAAUAUUUCAGUCUGCUUCAGUUGGUCUAAUCCUUCUAGGUGUGAUCAUAUAUGGUGCCAAAAGUACUAUAACUAGCUAUGGAUUCGCGUUUGUUUUUGUGAUAAUAGCUUCGAUCAUUAUUCUCGUCGCUGGAGUCUUCAGUUUCUUGGAUUGGAGAGGCGCUUCUUCACCUGCAUAAACAGAAGUACAAUCGAAACAAGCAUCAUUAAUAUUACUACUGGACUUCCGUGUAAAUUGUUAUUGAGCUUCCGAGUACUAGUAUAUUAUUAUAAAAAUAAUAGGCUUUAGAUAUUAAUCCUGCUAUUACAAACUAGGUUGGGUGUAAAAGAUAGAAAUAUUCACCCACUAACCAUGUAUGUUUGCUAGGAAUAUUAUACAAUUACUGUCUUUUGAUGAGGUUAAUAUGCGGUUUUAUUGACUUUUGAAAAAAACUGAUAUUCACUGAGGCCGACGGCCGAAGUGAAUAUCAGUUUUUCAAAAGUCAAUUAAACCACAUGUUUACCGAAACAAAAGACAAUAAUUGUUUUAUUCCAUAUUCAAAAUCAAAUUCAUAUAGAGAAACCUACUUAUAUUAUACCAAUAUGGAAUAAUCAAAAUUAGUGUCGCUUUACAAGCACGGUGAACAAUAGGACUGUAUUUAACAUUACUUAUUCUGUAGUGUGAGGCUACAGUCCUGCAAGAGAGUUGUCUUUAAACAAAUAUAUUUUUUUUCCUUUUGUUAUUUUAUCAUUGAAGAGAACCACAAUCUUUGCAUAUUUUGAAAAACGUAUUUUUUUAUUGGCAGUGAAUUUAAAUUUAAGAGCCACGAAAGCUCGUAGAAGAAAGAAUUUUGAUUUUCCUUCAUGCCGAUUGAAUCAAUGUCCACAGAACUGAUGAAGCGAAACUUUCUCUUUGAUACAAUCAUUAAAAUACUAACAACUUUAACAUCAGUCAGUCAUAUUUUUAUGUAUAUAAAAAAUUAUGAAACAUG